AGAUUAAGUUAUUAAGGGCGCACGGUGGAUGCCUUGGCACUAGAAGCCGAUGAAGGACGUUACUAACGACGAUAUGCUUUGGGGAGCUGUAAGUAAGCUUUGAUCCAGAGAUUUCCGAAUGGGGAAACCCAGCAUGAGUUAUGUCAUGUUAUCGAUAUGUGAAUACAUAGCAUAUCAGAAGGCACACCCGGAGAACUGAAACAUCUUAGUACCCGGAGGAAGAGAAAGAAAAUUCGAUUCCCUUAGUAGCGGCGAGCGAAACGGGAAGAGCCCAAACCAACAAGCUUGCUUGUUGGGGUUGUAGGACACUCUAUACGGAGUUACAAAGGACGACAUUAGACGAAUCAUCUGGAAAGAUGAAUCAAAGAAGGUAAUAAUCCUGUAGUCGAAAAUGUUGUCUCUCUUGAGUGGAUCCUGAGUACGACGGAGCACGUGAAAUUCCGUCGGAAUCUGGGAGGACCAUCUCCUAAGGCUAAAUACUCUCUAGUGACCGAUAGUGAACCAGUACCGUGAGGGAAAGGUGAAAAGCACCCCGGAAGGGGAGUGAAAUAGAACCUGAAACCGUGUGCUUACAAGUAGUCAGAGCCCGUUAAUGGGUGAUGGCGUGCCUUUUGUAGAAUGAACCGGCGAGUUACGAUUUGAUGCAAGGUUAAGCAGUAAAUGUGGAGCCGUAGCGAAAGCGAGUCUGAAUAGGGCGUUUAGUAUUUGGUCGUAGACCCGAAACCAGGUGAUCUACCCUUGGUCAGGUUGAAGUUCAGGUAACACUGAAUGGAGGACCGAACCGACUUACGUUGAAAAGUGAGCGGAUGAACUGAGGGUAGCGGAGAAAUUCCAAUCGAACCUGGAGAUAGCUGGUUCUCUCCGAAAUAGCUUUAGGGCUAGCCUCAAGUGAUGAUUAUUGGAGGUAGAGCACUGUUUGGACGAGGGGCCCCUCUCGGGUUACCGAAUUCAGACAAACUCCGAAUGCCAAUUAAUUUAACUUGGGAGUCAGAACAUGGGUGAUAAGGUCCGUGUUCGAAAGGGAAACAGCCCAGACCACCAGCUAAGGUCCCAAAAUAUAUGUUAAGUGGAAAAGGAUGUGGCGUUGCCCAGACAACUAGGAUGUUGGCUUAGAAGCAGCCAUCAUUUAAAGAGUGCGUAAUAGCUCACUAGUCGAGUGACACUGCGCCGAAAAUGUACCGGGGCUAAACAUAUUACCGAAGCUGUGGAUUGUCCUUUGGACAAUGGUAGGAGAGCGUUCUAAGGGCGUUGAAGCAUGAUCGUAAGGACAUGUGGAGCGCUUAGAAGUGAGAAUGCCGGUGUGAGUAGCGAAAGACGGGUGAGAAUCCCGUCCACCGAUUGACUAAGGUUUCCAGAGGAAGGCUCGUCCGCUCUGGGUUAGUCGGGUCCUAAGCUGAGGCCGACAGGCGUAGGCGAUGGAUAACAGGUUGAUAUUCCUGU
rnacentral:rRNA from 1 species